rnacentral:rRNA from 1 species
GAGCGGCGGACGGGUGAGUAACGCGUGAGAAUCUGCCCAUCAGUGGGGGAUAACCCGGGGAAACUCGGGCUAAUACCGCAUACGUCCUACGGGACAAAGCAGGGGACCUUUUGGCCUUGCGCUGAUGGAUGAGCUCGCGUCGGAUUAGCUUGUUGGUGAGGUAAAGGCUCACCAAGGCGACGAUCCGUAGCUGGUCUGAGAGGAUGAUCAGCCACACCGGGACUGAGACACGGCCCGGACUCCUACGGGAGGCAGCAGUGGGGAAUCUUGGACAAUGGGGGCAACCCUGAUCCAGCCAUGCCGCGUGUGUGAAGAAGGCCUUCGGGUUGUAAAGCACUUUCAGUAGGGAGGAAGGCUUUCGGUUAAUACCCGGGAGUACUUGACGUUACCUACAGAAGAAGCACCGGCUAAUUUCGUGCCAGCAGCCGCGGUAAUACGAAAGGUGCAAGCGUUAAUCGGAAUUACUGGGCGUAAAGCGCGCGUAGGCGGUGUGUUAAGUCGGAUGUGAAAGCCCAGGGCUCAACCUUGGAAUUGCAUCCGAUACUGGCACGCUAGAGUGCAGUAGAGGGAGGUGGAAUUUCCGGUGUAGCGGUGAAAUGC